CAAGAGCGUAUGUAAAAGUUGUUGCAGUUAAAAAGCUCGUAGUUGAACCUUGGGUUUGGUUGGCCGGUCCGCUUUUUUGCGAGUACUGGAUUCAACCGAGCCUUUCCUUCUGGCUAACCAGUCGUUUCGGCGGCUGGCGAACCAGGAUUUUUACUUUGAGUAAAUUAGAGUGUUCAAAGCAGGCAUUAGCUUGAAUAUAUUAGCAUGGAAUAAUAGAAUAGGACGUUAUGGUUCUAUUUUGUUGGUUUCUAGGACCAUCGUAAUGAUUAAUAGGGACGGUCGGGGGCAUCAGUAUUCAGUUGUCAGAGGUGAAAUUCUUGGAUUUACUGAAGACUAACUACUGCGAAAGCAUUUGCCAAGGACGUUUUCAUUAA
rnacentral:rRNA from 1 species